rnacentral:rRNA from 1 species
GACGAACGCUGGCGGCGUGCUUAACACAUGCCAGUCGAACGGAAAGGCCCCUUUGGGGGUACUCGAGUGGCGAACGGGUGAGUAACACGUGAGUAACCUGCCCUUGACUUCGGGAUAACUUCAGGAAACUGGGGCUAAUACCGGAUAGGAAUCCUUGCUGCAUGGUGGGGGUUGGAAAGCUUCGGCGGUUUUGGAUGGACUCGCGGCUUAUCAGCUUGUUGGUGGGGUAGUGGCUUACCAAGGCUUUGACGGGUAGCCGGCCUGAGAGGGCGACCGGCCACAUUGGGACUGAGAUACGGCCCAGACUCCUACGGAAGGCAGCAGUGGGGAAUAUUGCACAAUGGGCGGAAGCCUGAUGCAGCAACGCCGCGUGCGGGAUGACGGCCUUCGGGUUGUAAACCGCUUUCAGCAGGGGCGAAGCUUUUGUGACGGUACCUGCAGAAGAAGCACCGGCUAACUACGUG